AAUUAAUAAGCAUAGUUAUUUAUCCAAAAAUACAUUUCUAUCUGCCAUGGCAGUCUACAAGAGCCCCUCGUCUUUUCCCAGCCGUUGUUCUAAUAUUUGUACAAAAAAUUGCAGAUAAUGGAGUUAUUAGUCCAUCUCUUGUUGCAUGUAGAGCUACUCCUCAGAAGUGGACCAUUCUAGAAGCAACUUAUGAACUCUCUAAACACCACCAAAUUAUUCUGAAUGAAAGAAGUUUUAAGGUUAUUUAUGUUCUAUACUAUAUAUUUAUAUAUAUAUUUUUUAUAUUAUGUGCCGGUGUAUAUUUUUACACUUUUAUAUUAUGUGUCGAUUUAUAUUUUUACACUUUUCCAUAUUCUUAAAAUCUUGUAAAAGCCAAACAAAGAGGGGGAAAAAGCUCAACCUGCGGGAAUGUAAAAACCAUGUUCUCUCAAGAGUCUGAAGAAAAGUGAAAGAUCAUGAAGAGAGUAUCCAUCAAAAGAAGUGGCUUCCAUAUAAUGUCGCCAGAGAACUGAUUCAAUCUCUUCCUGAAAAUGGUAGUCAACACCUAGUCGCUGGAUAGCAUCCACCAACAUUGAGCUUUCUAUUUGAUUUUCUAAUUCCUCUGAUUUCAAUAAUUCCCUGACAUCCUUCAGUUUUUGUUCAUAUUCCGUGGAAAAUUCAUCCUGCAAGUAAGACUGGUUUUUGCUUUACACUUUUUCAUAACUAUUUUUAUGCGGAAAUUUCCAUAACUAUAUAUUUAUAUACUUUUUUAUAUUUUUUAUACUUGAUGAUAGUGACUUGUCGGCGGGACUAUUUCUCCCGGAAAUUGUUGAUGAGAAGAUGAGACCAACUUGUGAAUACCGUAGGGUUAUACAUUAAACUAAAAAUUACUUCCUAAUAGUCACUCCAGAUGAAGUGAAGAAAUUCUUCCAAUAUGAUCCAUACACAGAAGAUGAUAAUGACAUACUUGUGGGAGAUUUCUUUACUGUACAAAAUUAUAAAAGGAUUGAAACCCAAAUAAUUUCAAAUGAGACAAAUAACUUGUUCUCAGGAAAUUAUUCGUCAUUCAACCUGAAGAACUAACAAAUGAAGACGAAAACCAUAUAGAAAUCAAGGAAUAAAUUAUAAGGGGGUAAAUUCAAAGAAGACGAAAUUAACAUGCAAGUCGAUAAGCAGAUCGAAGUCUAGUUAAGUUUGAAUUGAGUGAUUUAGGCUAUUCAUAUCAUAUUCAAAAGGACAAAGUAAGGUUUUGGAAUAUAUACCAAUUAUGGUGUUAAGAUAUUAUUUUUAUUGUAUCUUUUCAGGUAUGAUGAAAAUAUCGUACAAGAAUACGAAAAGAAAGGAGAGUAAAAGUCAAGGGCUAAAGGAGAGACCUUAUAAACACGGUGAGUAUUGCAGCCCUUUCUUUAAACCUAUUUUGUGCACACAUUAAGUACAAAGUGUAUAAAAAUAUUGCCUUAUUUUAUUUUGAUAAUCUGAGUUGGUUAGGCUUGC
rnacentral:lncRNA from 1 species